ensembl:lncRNA
AUGGAUGAGAGUGAGAGGACAGAGUACCUCCGCAGGAAGGAGCAGGAGAAGGAGGACAGAAGGAACAAGGAAGAGGAGCGUAGAAGGACAGAAGAAGAGGCCGCCCUUCAGGCCGCAGAGGAGGACAGGCUGCGGGCCGAGCUGCUGGCCAGACAGAUGGCGCUCUUGCAGCAGCAGUUAGCCUUUAAAAGGGGUCUCAUGUUCGAGGCUGAAGGGCUGGAAAAAAGCCAGGGUAUCUCCAGACCGUGGAUCUACUCUUACUUCUCUCUGUUAGAGCUGCUGGGCCUGAGCUCAGCUACAGCUGGGACCUCGACCCCCUGACCUGAGUGUGAAAAGAACUGUGUUUGAUGAAAUUAAAUUAUUGUUAAGCCAAAUGGAACACACUGGUGAUGAUGACAAAGAUGAUGAUGAUGAUGAUGAUGAUGAUGAUGAUGAUGAUGAUGAUAGGAGAUGAACAUCUCCAGUUUUCAAUGAUAAAUGUGAUUGUUUAGUUAUUGUUCAGUUUCAGUAUUAGUAUUAAUAUAGGGGUAUUGGUCAGGGGCACGAUUUGACAAGAUCAGAAUAGUAUUACAAUACAAACACAAUUUGGGAAGGCAUCACAAUCGUGUACACGUCUCUAUAAACAUAUGCACCAAUGUCUAAUAUACUAUCAAAAUUAAACACCCUCACGUGUGAUAGAGUUGCAGUCUUUUUAUUGUCCCCAGCUUUUGAGAAGCACCUCCAAUUUUUGGCAGCAAAAGACCACAUAUGAUCUGAGUCAGAAGAGCUGAAUGAUCAGUCCAUACAUUGAUAAAAUAACACAACGCUUAAAUAGAACAACAACAUGUCAACUCUCUGACUGACCAGGCUGUAGGAACAGGCAAAGACAAAGCUGAGGAUUGAAACAACAUGCAGAGUAAACGUGUUAAGAUCCUUCUUUUUAGUCUCUCCUGAAGCUUUUACACACAUUACCAAUAUCUUUACAUAGGUGAAUACAAUGAAACUGAGAGGAGCAGCUACCGUGAAAAACAACAUCAUGAAGAUAUGACACGGUUCUGUUUGGUGAACAAGAAAGUUCAACCACAAGUGAACUCUGCUGAUAACAAAGCAAUAAAACUUUGAACGAAUCGUGAAUGACGAUAAAACUCCAACUUCUGCAAAAGAAACUGUCAAAAUAACAAGAAUGACUAUUUGUACUCUUCUUGUAGUGAUUGUGAGAUCAUAAUGUAAAGGCUUACAAAUACAUUUGUAUCUGUCAUAUGUCAUUACUGUUAGGGUUCCAAAUUCAAUUGCCACAUAUGAAUGAGUAGUAAAGUGAAUGAAGCAGUAAGAGGUUGAAAUUUCAGUUUCUGGCUCCAACAAGCUGGGCAACAAAGACAGACACAAGCUGUACAGGCACACAUACAUGGGCUUGUGCAGAUUUCUGUCCACAUACAUGAUGGGGCGGCUGUAGCUCAGUGGGUACAGCUGGUCGACUAGUGAUCGCUAGGUCGCUGCUGGUUCGAAUCCCGGCUCCCCUGGGGCGGAACUGAGCUACAAUGUCAAAGUAUCCUUGAGCAAGAUACUGAACCCCAGAACUGCUCCUGUUGUGCAGUUGGCACCUUGUGUGGCGGCCUCUGCCAUCAGUAAGGGCCCUGCGAUGAGCUGGCGACUCGUUCAGGGUGUACCCUGGCCUCGCCCAUAGAGAUAACUGGGAUUGGCUCCAGUAAACCCCACGACCCCUUGAAAAAGGGAGAUAAAAGCGGUAACAUCCCCGCGACCUUAAGCAGAAGAAAAUGAGAUGGGAUAAAUGAUCAUAAAAGAACUGUGUUUGCAAAAAUAAUUGCUAUGUAACAAAGCAUCCCCAGGAUGAAAUACAGGUAUAUAAAGCUCCCUAUGUUACAAUACAUAACACAAAUGAGAGAACCUGUGUUGAGUUUUCCACCUGUUUUCCAGUCUGUGUAGUUGUUUUAAGUCUUUUGAGGGUAUGUGACUGUCAACACAGGAAACCUGAGAGAAAGGCUUUAAGUUUUAACAUUCUGUGUGUUCACUCUCCAUGGUUUGCAGCUCUAGCUCAGGGGUACUCAAAUACAAAUGUGUCAUUCUUACUAUUCGGUGCCAUUUCAGUGUGGUAACUUUCUAUCAAAAAAUGUUUUUCCGUGUUUUUAACAUUUCAUCUGAAAGAGGGAUUUUCAAACUAUAAGAAGAAUGUAUUGGUCCAGCUAAGGAUAUUAUACUGUCAUAUUUUUUACCAAAUUCUUUACACAUCACGUAGGCCAAAUGUCCACCCUGUUACGGGACAUUCUCAUUUAUAUUAAUUACUGUUUUGAAUACACAGUUAUAGUGAUAUUUACAUUUUCUAAGAGCUACAGUGUCCCUUAUUUCACCCUGCAAGGAUAUUUUAAGAAAGUAUUCAUAAACAAGCAUUAUAUUGAAAGAAGACAUGUUCAGUUUUAGGGCACAGUGUAGUUUUUUUUCUCAACACAUUUCUUUUAGAUUUAAAAGGAAUACAAAUGGAAUUUGGCCCAUUUUUAAGUAAUUCUAUUUAGCUAACUCAUUCCCUUCAAAUAACCACAGAGACAUGCAUUAUAUUUGUUGAUAUGAUUUAUUUAACAUAAAAAACACACACACAAGUAACAGGGUGGACAUCACACCAGUGAACAACUAAAUAUUACUUUAAAGAAACUUUGAACACACCCCCACCUCCCCACCAACCACAGGUAGAUGCAUGUCCACAUUAAACAAUCAAAUUCACUGUGCAUCCAAAAUGAAGAACAUGUUUUUCUCACACCUCUCACCUCUCAACUUGCAACAGACCAGCAACAAGACAGGCAGACACACACACACACGCACACACACCCACAC